GCAAUUUGGGCCCUCAGGGUCUAGUAUCACGCAGGGAAUGCUGGGGCGGAUGGACCUCUGGUUCGUCACUCCGGUGAGAUCCGCGGGGAGGAAACUCCACGCGGUGAAGCCUGCGGUGCGGGGAGCAAUCCCCGCUCUGGAUUAUCGCUACACCCGUGUCUACUAUCUUUGUUGCUUUGGCGGGCCGCCCUCGGGCGGUGGCUCCGGCUGCCCGUGCCCGCCAGAGGACCCAAACUCUUUUGUUUAGUGAUGUCUGAGUACUAUAUAAUAGUUA
rnacentral:misc_RNA from 1 species